rnacentral:rRNA from 1 species
GAGAGGAUGAUCAGCCACACUGGAACUGAGACACGGUCCAGACUCCUACGGGAGGCAGCAGUGGGGAAUAUUGCACAAUGGGCGCAAGCCUGAUGCAGCCAUGCCGCGUGUGUGAAGAAGGCCUUCGGGUUGUAAAGCACUUUCAGCCNGUGAGGAAGGUGGUGUCGUUAAUAGCGGCAUCAUUUGACGUUAGCUACAGAAGAAGCACCGGCUAACUCCGUGCCAGCAGCCGCGGUAAUACGGAGGGUGCGAGCGUUAAUCGGAAUUACUGGGCGUAAAGCGCAUGCACGUGGUUAGUUAAGUCAGAUGUGAAAGCCCGGGGCUCAACCUCGGAACUGCAUUUGAAACUGGCUGACUAGAGUACUGUAGAGGGGGGKAGCAAUUUUCAGGUGUAGCGGUGAAAUGCGUAGAGGAUUACCAGRAGGGAAUACCGGUGGCGRAGGCGGGCCCCCCCUGGACAGAUACUGACASUCAGAUGCGAAAGCNGUGGGGAGCCAAACAGGAUUAGAUASUCCUGGUAGUUMCACGCCGUAAACGAUGUCUACUCGGAGGUU